rnacentral:rRNA from 1 species
AAAGGAAUUGACGGGGGCCCGCACAAGCAGUGGAUUAUGUGGUUUAAUUCGAAGCAACGCGAAGAACCUUACCAGGUCUUGACAUCGUGCGCAUAGUAUAGAGAUAUAUGAAGCCCUUCGGGGCGCAUAGACAGGUGGUGCAUGGUUGUCGUCAGCUCGUGUCGUGAGAUGUUGGGUUAAGUCCCGCAACGAGCGCAACCCUUACGAUUAGUUGCUACGCAAGAGCACUCUAAUAGGACUGCCGUUGACAAAACGGAGGAAGGUGGGGAUGACGUCAAAUCAUCAUGCCCCUUAUGACCUGGGCUACACACGUAAUACAAUGGCGCCCAACAGAGGGAAGCGAAGCCGUGAGGCACAGCAAAUCCUCAAAAGGCGUCUCAGUUCAGAUUGCAGGCUGCAACCCGCCUGCAUGAAGUCGGAAUUGCUAGUAAUCGCGGAUCAGCAUGCCGCGGUGAAUACGUUCCCGGGCCUUGUACACACCGCCCGU